GAGGGUAUAGUUUAAGUGGUAAAGCACAUGCUUAGCAUGCCUGAGGUCCUGGGUUCAAUCCCCAGUACCUCCA
rfam:Camelus ferus unplaced genomic scaffold scaffold628, whole genome shotgun sequence.